CAUGGAGGGUGAGAAUCCCGUCCGGCUGACCUUCAGGACGUUUUACGAUACGCUCUCAAAGAGUCGAGUUGUUUGGGAUUGCAGCUCAAAAUGGGAGGUAAAUUUCUCCUAAGGCUAAAUACCGGCGAGAGACCGAUAGCGAACAAGUACCGUGAGGGAAAGAUGAAAAGAAUUUUGAAAAGAAAGUCAAACAGUACGUGAAAUUGUUGAAAGGGAAACGAUUGAAGCCAGUCGUACCGACGGGAAUUCAACUUCUCGAGUGCUAAUCGUGGGUGACGUUGAGCCUCACGGCCCUCGUUGCUUGUGUUGUUGGUGCUUUUGGGGUGUACUUUUCCGUAUGGUAGGUCAGCAUCGAUUUCGAUCGUCAUAAAAUGAUCGGGGGAAUGUAGCUUCGGUCUCGUAUCGGAGUGUUAUAGACCUUGGUAGAUGUGACGAUCGGGAUCGAGGAUUGCAACGAAUACCCUUUGGGCUAUCCGUCUGACCUCUGAAAGCCGCUCGGGUGUCGAAAGCGUGCUUAUGGCUAUUCGAGUUGGCGGUCAACAGGUUAGAACGUGAUUACAUUCGUUAAGGAUGUUGACGUAAUGG
rnacentral:rRNA from 1 species